AUGUUCCUGCUUACAGUCCUUCUGGCAUCUUCGCUGUGGUCCCGUGGAGACGGGCAGGCAGUGCCGGUGCAAACCCCGGAGAUGCUGAUCCAGGUGAAGGGCAGCUCUGCCAGCAUGACAUGCCGACUGGGGGACGAAACCGUUGUGCACUGGUACAGGCAGCUUCCCAGAGAGCAGCCGAAGAGGGUCCUGUACGUGUCGGGACAGUCACCUAUUUUUGAUGACAACAACGACAGAAGGAGGUUUCAAACUCGGAAGCACCCUAGUGAGCCCCUCUACAGUCUCACGAUAGAUUACUUAACGCCCAGGGAUUCUGGCACUUACUACUGUGCGUAUUGGCCUUACCGACGCGGCGUCACAGCGUUAGAUGGGCCAAGAUGA